AUCGCCCGUUGCUGCCCGGUACUGAGCCUUUUCGAGAAAAACGGGAACCGCUAAUGUUUCAAUGCUUUUCGAGAUGGAGAUUCAUUUUUGGAAACCGCUUCAAUCGCAGUGGCUUGAACUGGGCAAAAAUUGUAACAAGCUUUCCGUAAGUGAACCUACGAACG
rnacentral:ncRNA from 1 species